GACGAACGCUGGCGGCGUGCUUAACACAUGCAAGUCGAACGGAAAGGCCUCUUUCGGGGGGUACUCGAGUGGCGAACGGGUGAGUAACACGUGAGUAACCUGCCCUUGACUUUGGGAUAACUUCAGGAAACUGGGGCUAAUACCGGAUAGGAGCUCCUGCUGCAUGGUGGGGGUUGGAAAGUUUCGGCGGUUGGGGAUGGACUCGCGGCUUAUCAGCUUGUUGGUGGGGUAGUGGCUUACCAAGGCUUUGACGGGUAGCCGGCCUGAGAGGGUGACCGGCCACAUUGGGACUGAGAUACGGCCCAGACUCCUACGGGAGGCAGCAGUGGGGAAUAUUGCACAAUGGGUGGAAGCCUGAUGCAGCAACGUCGUGUGCGGGAUGACGGCCUUCGGGUUGUAAACCGCUUUCGCUCAUGACGAAGCUUUGUGUGACGGUAGUGGGUAAAGAAGCACCGGCUAACUACGUG
rnacentral:rRNA from 1 species